CUGCAAGUGCAUGAGCUUUCACCACUUAAACCAGACUGCUGUCCUUCCCCCAGCUCUUCCUAUCAAGGCAGAGCUCUGUAGGACAGCACAAAGUUGCUACAGCAAGAGCG
ensembl:miRNA